ACAUUCCUCCAAGUUAAAUUUAAUGUUUUUUAUAUUUAAAAUAUUUAUCAGAUCUGUAGGUUGUCAGAUCUAGAAUAGCCUCCAAUUUUAAAGACAAUAAGGUUAUGAAUGUAAUGUAAGAAUCACCAGGAACAUUAUUGAAAUUACUUUUCUUCAUGUUGCUGGUGAAUGUUGCAGCUGAUCCUACUCCUACUCUAGGCUACGGAAGGUAAAGUUGUCAUCUCAUCUUAGUGAUGUUCCUUGGAUUUACAGCAUUCAGGAUUCUCAUGUUUACCUUUAUCUUCACACUUUGCUUUGCUUUUUCAUCCAAUAGAAACAUCAUGAAAAAUUAAGAAGAAAGCAAGCAUUUGGAAGUUGUAUUAAUUUAACGUUGUCUCAGGGACUAGGCAGCCCCGAGUUUCAAUCAGAAAAUCUCCAAGUGCACAUGACUAAGCCUGCAAGUGCGUCUGCAGCGGAGCGCUGCGCACGGAAUUGGAACGGGAGCACUCGGCUGUUUGGUGUCACUUGAGACCUGGAUCUCAUCUGUGUGGGAACGAGGCGGUGGCUGUGGCAGAGAGACAGGCUGUGUGCUGGAAAACAAAGAGAGAAUUCUGGCUGGCUGGGCUGGUGUGAAGAAUCGCUGCCGUGGGGCUGAGCUGAAGGUGUGCGAGGAGAAGGAAACAGGAGCAGAGCGAGAAGCCAGCUGUGAACAGCACCGCUCGCUUCUGCUACUGAGCGAGCUCUUCUAGAAAAUGUCAAAGAACAUCCUCAUCAUCUAAAGCCAUUUUUAAAAUGAUUGCUAAUAUGGCUCAAUUAUGUUUUCUUUCCCUGCACCCAUGUGUUUAAAUGUGAAAGAAAAUGGUGAGAGUGACUGCUAAAGAUGCUUGAUAGUGCAUAUUUGCUUGGAAGUAUAUUUUCAUAUCAAGCAAAUGUCAGUGCAAACACCUGCAAUUUGCAUUGCUUCUAACUGUAAGAAACAAACGUAAGUUGGUUCACCACCACCACAACUCUGAAUAAAGCUCCUGCUGCUCUGUGGCUGGUACUAGGU
rnacentral:lncRNA from 1 species